UGCCAGACUCCUACGGGAGGCAGCAGUGGGGGAUAUUGCACAAUGGGGGGAACCCUGAUGCAGCGACGCCGCGUGGGUGAAGAAGCGCCUCGGCGCGUAAAGCCCUGUCAGCAGGGAAGAAAAUGACGGUACCUGAAGAAGAAGCCCCGGCUAACUACGUGCCAGCAGCCGCGGUAAUACGUGGGGGGCAAGCGUUAUCCGGAUUUACUGGGUGUAAAGGGGGCGCAGACGGCGAUGCAAGCCAGGAGUGAAAGCGCGGGGCCCAACCCCGGGACUGCUCUUGGAACUGCGUGGCUGGAGUGCAGGAGGGGCAGGCGGAAUUCCUGGUGUAGCGGUGAAAUGCGUAGAUAUCAGGAGGAACACCGGUGGCGAAGGCGGCCUGCUGGACUGCAACUGACGUUGAGGCCCGAAAGCGUGGGGAGCAAACAGGAUUAGAUACCCUGGUA
rnacentral:rRNA from 1 species